rnacentral:misc_RNA from 1 species
GUUCGAUCCUCUCGGGAAUCAUAUUUCCUUAUUUAGCUCCAAAAGACAUUAGACUUACCAACAAAGCCAUUUUCUCAUUUAGCAAUACACUUACCAACAAAAUCACAACGCAUAAUAGAUAAAACAUCAGAUUUGGGACAGAAUGUUGGCCAUAUCGGUCCGAGGCUUGUACAUAGCCUCCAGAGGAAUGACCUUAUGGAUGGUGAGAGUUCCAGCUUCAGUUAAA